rnacentral:rRNA from 1 species
AACGAACGCUGGCGGCAGGCCUAACACAUGCAAGUCGAGCGCCCUUUCGGGGGACCGGCGGACGGGUGAGUAACGGUGGGGAAUAUGCCCUUCUCUACGGAAUAGCCUCGGGAAACUGAGAGUAAUACCGCAUACGCCUUGGGGGGGAAAGAUUUAUCGGGGAAGGAUUAGCCCGCGUUGGAUUAGGUAGUUGGUAGGCUAAUGGCCUACCAAGCGGACGAUCCAUAGCUGGUUUGAGAGGAUGAUCAGCCACACUGGGACUGAGACACGGCCCAGACUCCUACGGGAGGCAGCAGUGGGGAAUCUUAGACAAUGGGGGCAACCCUGAUCUAGCCAUGCCGCGUGAGUGAUGAAGGCCUUAGGGUUGUAAAGCUCUUUCAGCUGGGAAGAUAAUGACGGUACCAGCAGAAGAAGCCCCGGCUAACUCCGUG